UCACUGCAUAUAGAUUGAGUACCUUAGUA
rnacentral:sRNA from 1 species